AGUGGGGAAUAUUGGACAAUGGGGGAAACCCUGAUCCAGCAAUGCCGCGUGUGUGAAGAAGGCCUGAGGGUUGUAAAGCACUUUAAGUGGGGAAGAAAACUUCAAUGCUAAUAUCAUUGAGGCUUGACGUUACCCAAAGAAUAAGCACCGGCUAACUCUGUGCCAGCAGCCGCGGUAAUACAGAGGGUGCUAGCGUUAAUCGGAAUUAUUGGGCGUAAAGCGCACGUAGGCGGUUAUAUAAGUCAGAUGUGAAAUCCCCGGGCUUAACCUGGGAACUGCAUUUGAAACUGUAUAACUAGAGUAGAGCAGAGGAGAGUGGAAUUUCCGGUGUAGCAGUGAAAUGCGUAGAGAUCGGAAGGAACACCAGUGGCGAAGGCGACUCUCUGGGUUCAUACUGACGCUGAGGUGCGAAAGCGUGGGGAGCAAA
rnacentral:rRNA from 1 species